UACGAAGGGGGCCAGCGUUGUUCGGAAUUACUGGGCGUAAAGGGCGCGUAGGCGGCUUCGAUAGUCGGGUGUGAAAUGCCUGGGCUCAACCCAGGAACUGCACUCGAAACUCCGAGGCUAGAGUGUGGGAGAGGAUAGUGGAAUUCCCAGUGUAGAGGUGAAAUUCGUAGAUAUUGGGAAGAAUACCGGUGGCGAAGGCGGCUAUCUGGACCACAACUGACGCUGAGGCGCGAAAGCGUGGGGAGCAAACAGG
rnacentral:rRNA from 1 species